rnacentral:rRNA from 1 species
GACGAACGCUGGCGGCGUGCCUAAUACAUGCAAGUCGAGCGGACGGAUGGGAGCUUGCUCCCAGACCGUCAGCGGCGGACGGGUGAGUAACACGUGGGCAACCUGCCUGUAAGACUGGGAUAACUCCGGGAAACCGGGGCUAAUACCGGAUAACUCUUUCCCUCACCUGAGGGCAAGCUGAAAGAUGGCAUCUCGCUAUCACUUACAGCUGGGCCCGCGGCGCAUUAGCUAGUUGGUGAGGUAACGGCUCACCAAGGCGACGAUGCGUAGCCGACCUGAGAGGGUGAUCGGCCACACUGGGACUGAGACACGGCCCAGACUCCUACGGGAGGCAGCAGUAGGGAAUCUUCCGCAAUGGACGAAAGUCUGACGGAGCAACGCCGCGUGAGUGAUGAAGGCUUUCGGAUCGUAAAACUCUGUUGUCAGGGAAGAACAAGUACCGGAGCAACUGCCGGUAUCUUGACGGUACCUGACCAGAAAGCCACGGCUAACUACGUG